ACGUGCUUAAAUGCUUUUAACAAGAGCAGCUGAAGGAAGGAGAGAUCUCAGUCAAAAACAUGCUGCAUAAUUAGAGCUGCUGUUUCUCAGGUAAUUUUCCUUAAUGCUAUGGUGUUGACUCAGAGCAGUAAAGGACAGAAAGAGAGAGGGAAGCAAGGACACCAGUCGACUAACUCCCCAGUUUCCCGUCAGAAGUUUGUGCCAGUGUCACUUGGCAGGCCUGGCCCUUGGAGGGAGCUGUUCCUG